rnacentral:rRNA from 1 species
GUUAUAUGGUCAAGCGAAUAAGCGCACACGGUGGAUGCCUUGGCGGUCAGAGGCGAUGAAGGACGUGGCAGCCUGCGAAAAGUAUCGGGGAGCUGGCAACAAGCUUUGAUCCGGUAAUGUCCGAAUGGGGAAACCCACCCGCUUGCGGGUAUCCUGCAGUGAAUACAUAGCUGCUGGAAGCGAACCUGGUGAACUGAAAUAUCUAAGUAACCAGAGGAAAAGAAAUCAACCGAGAUUCCGUAAGUAGCGACGAGCGAACGCGGACUAGCCCUUAAGCUGGAUUGGUUCUAGGAAAACGCUCUGGAAAGAGCGGCCAUAGAAGGUGAUAGCCCUGUAUCUGAAAGGGCCAUUCCAGUGAAGACGAGUAGGGCGGGGCACGUGAAACCCUGUCUGAACAUGGGGGGACCAUCCUCCAAGGCUAAAUACUACUGACCGACCGAUAGUGAACCAGUACCGUGAGGGAAAGGCGAAAAGAACCCCGGAGAGGGGAGUGAAAUAGAACCUGAAACCGUGUGCGUACAAGCAGUAGGAGCUCCGCAAGGAGUGACUGCGUACCUUUUGUAUAAUGGGUCAGCGACUUACUGUUCGUGGCAAGCUUAACCGUAUAGGGGAGGCGAAGGGAAACCGAGUCUGAUAAGGGCGCAUAGUCGCGGGCAGUAGACCCGAAACCGGGUGAUCUAGUCAUGCCCAGGGUGAAGGUGCGGUAACACGCACUGGAGGCCCGAACCCACUCCCGUUGCAAAGGUAGGGGAUGAGGUGUGAUUAGGAGUGAAAAGCUAAUCGAACCCGGAGAUAGCUGGUUCUCCUCGAAAGCUAUUUAGGUAGCGCCUCAUAUGUAUCCUCUCGGGGGUAGAGCACUGUUAUGGCUAGGGGGUCAUCGCGACUUACCAAACCAUUGCAAACUCCGAAUACCGAGACGGACUGUAUGGGAGACACACGGCGGGUGCUAACGUCCGUCGUGAAAAGGGAAACAACCCAGACCCACAGCUAAGGUCCCAAAUUCACUGCUAAGUGGAAAACCAUGUGGAAAGGCACAGACAGCCAGGAGGUUGGCUUAGAAGCAGCCACCCUUUAAAGAAAGCGUAAUAGCUCACUGGUCGAGUCGGUCUGCGGGGAAGAUUUAACGGGGCUAAGCAGUGAACCGAAGCUUGGGGUGCAUAACUUUGUUAUGCGCGGUAGAGGAGCGUUCCGUAAGCCGUUGAAGGUGGAUUGAGAAGUCUGCUGGAGGUAUCGGAAGUGCGAAUGCUGACAUGAGUAACGAUAAUGCGGGUGAAAAACCCGCACGCCGAAAGCCCAAGGUUUCCUUGCGCAACGUUAAUCGGCGCAGGGUGAGUCGGCCCCUAAGGCGAGGACGAAAGUCGUAGUCGAUGGGAAGCAGGUUAAUAUUCCUGCACCUCGCGUAAGUGCGAUGGAGGGACGGAGAAGGUUAGGUGUACCAGGCGUUGGUUGUCCUGGGGAAAGGCGGUAGGUUUGGAUCUUUGGCAAAUCCGGGAUCCUCUAAGACCGAGCACCGAGACGAGCCUUUAWGGCGAAGUCACUGAUACCACGCUUCCAGGAAAAGCUCCUAAGCUUCAGCUUACGCAGACCGUACCGUAAACCGACACAGGUGGGUAGGAUGAGAAUUCUCAGGCGCUUGAGAGAACUCGGGUGAAGGAACUAGGCAACAUGGCACCGUAACUUCGGGAGAAGGUGCACCCUUUUUGGUGGCUCGUGCGAGCUAUAGCUGAAGAGGGUCGCAGUAACCAGGCCGCUGCGACUGUUUAUCAAAAACACAGCACUCUGCAAACACGAAAGUGGACGUAUAGGGUGUGACGCCUGCCCGGUGCUGGAAGGUUAAUUGAUGGGGUCAGCCGCAAGGCGAAGCUCUUGAUCGAAGCCCCAGUAAACGGCGGCCGUAACUAUAACGGUCCUAAGGUAGCGAAAUUCCUUGUCGGGUAAGUUCCGACCUGCACGAAUGGCGUAACGACAGCGGCGCUGUCUCCACCCGAGACUCAGUGAAAUUGAAAUCGCUGUGAAGAUGCAGCGUUCCCGUGGCAAGACGGAAAGACCCCGUGAACCUUUACUAUAGCUUUACACUGAACGUUGAGUUCGUCUGUGUAGGAUAGGUGGGAGGCUAUGAAACYAUGGCGCUAGCUGUGGUGGAGCCAUCCUUGAAAUACCACCCUGUCGUGCUUGACGUUCUAACCUGGGCCCAUUAUCUGGGUCGGGGACCGUGUAUGGUGGGUAGUUUGACUGGGGCGGUCUCCUCCUAAAGAGUAACGGAGGAGCUCGAAGGUACGCUCAGCGCGGUCGGACAUCGCGCACUGUGUGCAAAGGCAUAAGCGUGCUUGACUGCAAGAUCGACGGAUCAAGCAGGUAGGAAACUAGGACUUAGUGAUCCGGUGGUUCUGUAUGGAAGGGCCAUCGCUCAACGGAUAAAAGGUACUCCGGGGAUAACAGGCUGAUACCGCCCAAGAGUUCAUAUCGACGGCGGUGUUUGGCACCUCGAUGUCGGCUCAUCACAUCCUGGGGCUGUAGUCGGUCCCAAGGGUAUGGCUGUUCGCCAUUUAAAGUGGUACGCGAGCUGGGUUCAGAACGUCGUGAGACAGUUCGGUCCCUAUCUGCCAUGGGCGUUGGAGAUUUGAGAGGGGCUGCUCCUAGUACGAGAGGACCGGAGUGGACGAACCUCUGGUGUUCCGGUUGUCACGCCAGUGGCAUUGCCGGGUAGCUAUGUUCGGAAGCGAUAACCGCUGAAAGCAUCUAAGCGGGAAGCGCGCCUCAAGAUGAGAUCUCCCGGGGCACAAGCCCCCUGAAGGAACCAUGUAGACUACGUGGUUGAUAGGUCAGGUGUGUAAGUACAGCAAUGUAUUGAGCUAACUGAUACUAAUGAUCCGUGCGGCUUGACCAUAUAACCU